CAGUCGCCGCGGUAAUGCGUAGGUGGCGAGCGUUGUCCGGAAUUAUUGGGCGCAAAGGGAGCGCAGGCGGACAUAUAAGUCCAUCUUAAAAGUGCGGGGCUCAACCCCGUGAGGGGAUGGAAACUGUAUGCCUUGAGUGUAGGAGAGGAAAGCGGAAUCCCCAGUAUAGCGGUGAAAUGCGUAGAUAUUGGGAGGAACACCAGUGGCGAAGGCGGCUUUCUGGACUGCAACUGACGCUGAGGCUCGAAAGCCAGGGGAGCGAACGGGAUUAGAUACCCCUGUAGUCCCUGUCUCUUAUACA
rnacentral:rRNA from 1 species